AUUGAACGCUGGCGGCAGGCCUAACACAUGCAAGUCGAGCGGUAGCACAGGAGAGCUUGCUCUCCGGGUGACGAGCGGCGGACGGGUGAGUAAUGUCUGGGAAACUGCCUGAUGGAGGGGGAUAACUACUGGAAACGGUAGCUAAUACCGCAUAACGUCGCAAGACCAAAGAGGGGGACCUUCGGGCCUCUUGCCAUCAGAUGUGCCCAGAUGGGAUUAGCUAGUAGGUGGGGUAACAGCUCACCUAGGCGACGAUCCCUAGCUGGUCUGAGAGGAUGACCAGCCACACUGGAACUGAGACACGGUCCAGACUCCUACGGGAGGCAGCAGUGGGGAAUAUUGCACAAUGGGCGCAAGCCUGAUGCAGCCAUGCCGCGUGUAUGAAGAAGGCCUUCGGGUUGUAAAGUACUUUCAGCGGGGAGGAAGGUGUUGAGGUUAAUAACCUCAGCAAUUGACGUUACCCGCAGAAGAAGCACCGGCUAACUCCGUGCCAGCAGCCGCGGUAAUACGGAGGGUGCAAGCGUUAAUCGGAAUUACUGGGCGUAAAGCGCACGCAGGCGGUCUGUCAAGUCGGAUGUGAAAUCCCCGGGCUCAACCUGGGAACUGCAUUCGAAACUGGCAGGCUAGAGUCUUGUAGAGGGGGGUAGAAUUCCAGGUGUAGCGGUGAAAUGCGUAGAGAUCUGGAGGAAUACCGGUGGCGAAGGCGGCCCCCUGGACAAAGACUGACGCUCAGGUGCGAAAGCGUGGGGAGCAAACAGG
rnacentral:rRNA from 1 species